AUGGAGUACGCCUCCCGCACAGCCGAGUGGCGCAUCCACCCGUGGGCGGACGGCAUCCACAUGCCUGCGCAUGCGCAGAGCAUGCGACCGAUGCUCGCUGCCGCGGCCGGGCUCAUCUUUUGGAGAUAUGACCGGAACUCCUCGCUCCUGCUCGAUACAAGCACCAUGGCAUUCUCCUUCUCCAUCGUCCCUCUCCCAGUUACAAUAGCGACGCACACGAUGAUGCCGCCGGGAGCAUACGCCAUCGGAGACACCGAGGCCGGUGUGUGUUGCCUUUUGCUUAUGGUCGGCAGGACUACGCUGCAAGUCUGGCUACUCAAGAAGAAGGACGGCGGCGGCGGGCAUGCGUGGGAGUUGGAGAAGCAAAGCCAUAUAGGCUGGCUGGACAGCUUCAACCGGCGGUUUGGUGUCCAUAUGGUGGCUGCUGGGCUCGCAAUUGUUUACUGCAUGAGUUGCAAGUAUUCUCACUUUGUCAUUGAUCUCAAGGACCUGAGCCUCAAGGAUAAGUUCCGUUGUCAUCGAACCAUGGCGUACCCUUUCCAAAUGCCAUGGCCACCUGCUGCGUUGGUGCCUACUUCUCCGUGCGAACGGCCCACCACACCCCAAACAUAUGCAUGCCGAGAUGCUGAAAAUCAACACGAAGCACCUUCUUCUAGUAGGAAGCGCAAGAGCAAUGAUGAAAUGGAGCCAUGUAUUUCCCCAGCUUCUUUGAAGAAUGAAUUCAUCAGAUAA
rnacentral:rRNA from 1 species